rnacentral:rRNA from 1 species
CUGCUGUUAUACAGAAAGAAAAGAUAUAGGAGUGGAAAGCCUAUAUUAUGACGGUACUGUAUCAGAAAGUGACGGCAAACUAUGUGCCAGCAGCCGCGGUAAUACAUAGGUCACAAGCGUUAUCCGAAAUUAUUGGGCGUAAAGCGUCCGUAGGUUGUUUGUUAAGUCUGGAGUUAAAGACCGGUGCUCAACGCCGGCACGCUUUAGAUACCGGCAAACUAGAGUUAUAAAGAGGUAAGUGGAAUUUCAUGUGAAGCGGUGGAAUGCGUAGAUAUAUGAAAGAACACCAAUGGCGAAGGCAGCUUACUGGUUAUAUACUGACACUGAGGGACGAAAGCGUGGGGAGCAAACAGGAUUAGAUACCCUGGUAGUCCACGCCGUAAACGAUGAUCAUUAGUUGGUGGGGGAACCCUCGCUAACGCAGCUAACGCAUUAAAUGAUCCGCCUGAGUAGUAUGCUCGCAAGAGUGAAACUUAAAGGAAUUGACGGGGACCCGCACAAGCGGUGGAGCAUGUGGUUUAAUUUGACAAUACGCGUAGAACCUUACCCACUCUUGACAUCCCUUGCAAAGCUAUAGAGAUAUAGUGGAGGUUAACAAGGUGACAGAUGGUGCAUGGUUGUCGUCAGCUCGUGUCGUGAGAUGUUCGGUUAAGUCCUGCAACGAGCGCAACCCCUAUCCUUAUUUACUAACAUUAAGUUGAGAACUAUACGGAUACUGCUCAGGUAACUGGGAGGAAGGUGGGGAUGACGUCAAAUCAUCAUGCCUCUUACGAGUGGGGCAACACACGUGCUACAAUGGCCGGUACAAAGAGACGCAAUAUGGUGACAUGGAGCAAAUCUGAAAAACCGGUCUCAGUUCGGAUUGAAGGCUGCAAUUCGCCUUCAUGAAGUCGGAAUCGCUAGUAAUCGUAGAUCAGCUACGCUACGGUGAAUACGUUCUCGGGUCUUGUACACACCGCCCAUCACACCAUGGGAGCCGGUAAUGCCCAAAGUC